CGGCAUAACAUUAAAUUGAUAGAGACCUGAAGGAGUGAUGAAGGCUGUCUGGGUUUUGCUAUUGGGGUCCAUGGUCACCUGCCAAUAUCCACUGUUGAGAUCAAUAGUAGAAAAGAUGGCUGCCCCAGAGAGGGAUUCCAGAAUUUCUGUGAUAUUGGGAAGAGGGUACUAAGACCACUGGUGAUGCCCAACCAGAGUGGGAGGGUUCAACUAUUCCUUGUCUCAACAUUUCGUCAAGUUGCUCAUCCAGUGCAAGUUGCUUGAUGGGAGACAAACGGUAUGGUCGUUGUUUGAUCGGUACUUGGCUGGUGGCAUAGAUGCGGUGUUGGAGAACCUCAGUACGUCCAGUACGGAGUGUGCAUACCUGAGGGCGGCCUUCCAGGAUUUGGAGUAACUGUAGCUUACCUUCCAAGGGUAAAUGAGCAGCGUCCACAGUUUUUUUUAUCAAUGCAUUUUCAUCAAUACUGUCAAGUGGUUGAAUUUGCAAUGGCGAUGAUAGAGGGGGAACAGAAGUUAACAAGGAAAGGUUUUGUGUGGCUGUUCUAAGUUGACUCCUCUCGUUUUGGGGACUUAGAUUUGGCACACUUGGAUUUCCUGGUUGAAAGGGGUACUCUUUUGAAGGAUCAAGCUUGAAGGAGUAUUUCUGAUCAAUGACAUUGAGUUGCAGGCCACUGAAGAAAAUAAAGUCCAACCCCAAGACUACAGCAUAGGCUAGAGCUUGGGAGGAAAGUACAGCAGUAGGUAAGGUAAAUGCUUGGUCAUGUAAAUGAAUUGUGGUGUACAGCCAUCCUAAUGGUGUCUCUGCUUUUCCAUUUGCCAGAUAAAGAGGACCACGAGACCAUGGUUGGAGCUGGUCUGGUGAGUUGCAGCAACAGAGUUGUUGGAAGGGUGACCACUUGACUUCGGGUGAUAAGGAUGUUUGCCACUGGUGUAAUACUGUGGACCAGAUGUCUGAGGUGACUGUGGAGAGGUAUAGUGUGGACAUUUUCCUGGUGGAUGCUGUCCUCUACAUCUCCAACAUUGAACUGGGAUUUUCUCAGCAGGUUGGUUUGAGGAAGAUCGUG